UGUAUCGCGGAGCCCAAGGUUGUGGAGGACCUUGUAGCCUUUCAUGUGUACUCAUUUAGUUGUUUCCUCUUUUCUAGCCUCAUUGCCUUGUGUCUUAAGCAAGCUAUUCGUCUGGCUAAGUCAGCACACUUCCCAACCGUCUUCACGGUUGACUUAGCCCUAAUCAACAAAACCGCCCUACGGGUCGGGUACUUGGUCUCGGCUGCGGGAUCGGUUCUCGGGUCGGUUUUUUUGAUGCUAGGUUUGAUCAAUGUGGUUCAAAUCAAACUUGGAAUUUUGGGGUGUGGGAGUAUGCAUACUUAUGGAGCUAUUAUUCCUCUUGUGAUUUUUGUGCCAUUAGGGCUACUUAUUUAUGUUUGUACUGUUUUUUAUGCUUUCACUCGUUAAUUUGAUCAAUGUAUA
rnacentral:misc_RNA from 1 species